GUUCCCCUCACAGACCAGCUGUUUACCCAGAGGGUACUGCCCUCCUUUCAACCAGAUAUCAGGACUAGGGGCAGAAUGGGCUGAGAGGCUGCUCCAUAUCCACAUCAGAUCAAAACCAAGAGGAGGUCUGAGGCAGAGAGAAACUCCGGUCUGCAUGGAAGCCCAUCUGCGGUCCACUACCUAAUGACACCCUUCAGGCAGAGCCCAACAUAGGAACAAGAUUCAAACCCAUCGAGCCUCCCUGGUUAUUCGAGAAAUUGACUGACCAUCCCCUUGUGGGAUAUAGGAAACAGGGUUUAUUGGCACAGACUCCACCCCUUGAAUUCACCGUUCAUCCCAUCUAGUCGGGAGAUUGGAUCUUAGUAAAAUCAUGGACAGAGACUAAAUUACAGCUGGACUGGGAAGGGCCGUACCAGGCUCUUUUAACGACUGAAAUGGCAUUAAGGACGGCGGAGAAAGGCUGGACUCACUACACUCGGAUCAAAGGGCCAGUGGAAUCUCCAGUUGAGGAAGAGGUCUGGACAGCUGAAUCAACGCAAGACCCGCUGAAACUCAGACUAAAGAGACUUUGAGUAACUGAUUAUACAGUGGCGACAUGAGCGCGGGAUUAUUUCUGUAGGAUUGUAUAUUAAGUCGUUUUGUGCUUCAGCAUGAUGUUUAGAGUACUGGGAAUGCUUAGAGUUAUGAUGCUAGCUCUCUUAGUAUUGGGAUUUUGUCAAAUAUCAUUUUCAUAUGUGUUAUUAAUGGUUCCUGAGUCUGAUAAUCUACAAGUAAUAGAUGCUGAUGCAUGCAGUUUAGUAAAUUGUGGGGAUGUAGAUAAUCAGGGACAGUACCGCAGCUCAGAGAUACAUCUUGAGUCCUAUGGGGAUGGCCUUGAGAAUGGUACUUGGUAUAAUGGUAUCGUCACAGUACACCAGACCCCCUUCCAACCAGCUCGCGAUUGUCCAGAUAAAAAGUGUAACCCAAUAUACCUGACAAUAAAGAAGACCACAUGGCACGAAGCAAUUCUGGUGGGGGGAGGGAGGGGGGAGGGGGCACCUAUGAGAUACAAUUAAAUGAAACAUUUGGGAUAGAAAUGAAAGCAAAUGGGAAGGAUUUCUCUGGCUGUUGUUUCGAAUUAGCGUAGGACAGGGAAAACAGGCAGAAUUACUGGAUAAUGAGAUACAACGUUUCACCCCUCCCGCUGAUCCUAAAGUAGUAAAAAUUAUAGAGAUAAAGGACUUGAAACAGACUAUCAAAAUAGAAACUGGGUACGGGGAUGCAAAUGCCUGGGUUGAAUGGGUAAAGUAUAUUGUAAAAAGUCUGAACAAAAGCAAUUGCUUAUGCAUGUGCCUCCGGUAGGCCAGUGGCCCAGGUGGUUCCCUUUCCGCUCGGAUGGAAGCGAGACAGGAAGGGCAUGAAAUGUAUGAUAGCCCUGUAUCAGGAUGAGACUGCAUGGAAUGAUAGGAAUUGUACCUCCCUAUCUCUGAUGUUCCCUCCCUUGGAGAAGAAAGAUGUACAAGUUCCCCCCACAUUUUCCGCCACAGUUGGAAAUCACACGUCUUGUGUGCGUAGACGAGGCACAAGUCGGUCUAGAGAUUUGGGGGGAGCUGAAAUUAUGUACAGAGAUUAAAAAUGUUACCGAAAUGGAGAAGGGAGGGAACUACUCAGCACUAAAGGUUCCCCGAGCGGAUCUGUACUGGUACUGUGGAGGCAAAAUAUUGAGACCCACCCUACCUCCGGAUUGGAGAGGGAUAUGUGCAAUUGUACAAUUGGCAAUUCCAUUUACCCUGGCAUUUGAGAAGGAAAAGAUAGUAGGGAAAAAGGGAAGGGAUAAGAGAUCACUGUUAGACACUUCUUUUGAUGACAGGAUUUAUCUCGAUUUGGUAGGAGUCCCUAGGGAGUACCUGAUGAGUUCAAGGCUCGUAACCAGAUUGCAGCAGGCUUUGAGUAAGCUCUCUUUUGGUGGGUAACAAUUUAUAAAAAUGUGGAUUGGAUAAAUUACAUUUUCUAUAAUCAACAGCGAUUUAUAAAUUAUACAAGAGAUGCGGUUAAAGGAAUAUCAGAACAGCUUGAUGCGACAAGUAGGAUGGCAUGGGAGAACAGAAUGGCCCUUGAUAUGAUUUUAGCAGAAAAAGGGUGUGUGUGUGUGAUGUUAGGAGGAAGCUGUUGUACCUUUAUUCCUAAUAACACUGCACCUGAUGGUUCAAUUACUCGGGCCUUAAGGGGAUUGACUACCUUAGCAGAGGAACUGGCUGAGAAUUCAGGAGUAGACACAUCUCUCACGGAAUGGCUUGAAUCCUGGUUUGGAAGGUGAAAGGAGGUGGUAGUUUCCAUCCUUACUUCCCUGAUAGUAGUAGUCGGGGUAUUGGUAGCCAUUGGCUGUUGUAUCAUACCCUGAAUACGAGGGCUCACCCAAAGACUGAUUGAGACAGCCUUGAUGAAACAGAUGCCCCUAAAAGGAAAUUAGACAGAGGAACUUUAUCGACUAAAUAAUGAGGGGAUGAGUGAGACCAAGAUGGAUGAAAUCUCCGGAAUGAUGCUUGCGAAUUUCGGGGGCAAUGCUUAAAAGAAAAAUGCAGAAGAUAACAAAUGGUAAUUAAAGAAAAAGGGGAAAUUGUGGGAUAUAGGUAAAUUAAUGUUACUUCUGCAAUUCUGCAAUUAUAAUUACUGAUAUAAAAAUAAGUGAACUCACAUCAGUGUGUAAUUGUUUCAGCCAAGAGCUGAGCCAACAACAAUGGAAACUUAUGUGGAGGAAAUGCAUAAUUGUUUUUUUGUAUUAGCUAAAAAUGUUUGCAAGAAAGAAACGGGAUUGUAAGACAAUGGUAGAUAAUACAGGCACUAGAUAAAAUGCUGUGAAGAGAGGCAGUUAAACUAGAUAUGCCUGUAUAAACAGUAGGUAUCAACAUUUGUUUCCCACUUUUACAGAAACACAGGAACAAACCCCAAUUAAAAGGGCUUAGUGAUAAGAUGCUGUGAGGGGCAGCACAGAUGGAAGGAGUAGAUAAUGGUAAGGCAAGGAUGUGCUCAAGACAGGAUGAGGUCAAAUGGCCUUGUGAGAACAGGAAUAAGCAUUUUUGUCACAGACAAGGCCAUAUAAAACAAGAGAUAAACAGGAGUAAUGGGUAUCGAUCUUAGGGAAGUGGAGGAUGUGAACAGGAGGGGAAACAAUGAAAUAAGAAAAAAAUGUAAGAACCAAAUUAUAUAAAUAUCGAGUAUUUGUUGAAUUCAGUGUGUUUUGUCCCUGCCUUGUGGACCCACUUGCAAGUGUAAAAUAAAUGACACUACUGAUUCA